GGGCCUGAUGCUGCCCCAAACUCCAACCAGGGCGGAAUCAGGACAGUUCUGCAGGCAGCUGCUUCUGCGGCCCUGACUGUUUGAAUGUUGCCUCUUUUGUAGUUUUUGCCCAAACAGACAGUGACCUCAGGAGCUGGAAUGGCAGGAAUCAAAGGAAGGAAGCAAAGUAAAUUCCGGUUGGAGCUCGGGCCAGGAAUUUCUUCAGGUCCCCCGUGGAUUGUUAAUUGGAGACAAGACAAAGACAAGAAGAAACAAGUGGCAGGUGGAGAUCAUGCCACCACGUGCAUGUGGGUGGCACAUUUGAGGACACCAAAUAGUUUACUACAGGUAGAGAGAGAAGACGUCGUGUGA
rnacentral:lncRNA from 1 species